rnacentral:lncRNA from 1 species
UGUGUGUUUGUGUAUGUUGAAAAGGGGGAGGGUGGUAACAAAACAUAAGAUGGCAUAACCAAAACUCUUGGCUAUCAAUUAAAGAACCUAUAAGACAGCAUACUGAAGCCAACUUAACAAUCCUACUACGGAUAUGAAUGUGGCGGACGGAAAAGAAUCAUCUAACUGCAGCAAAACACUUAAAAAGACUACCACUAACUCUAAAAUGCGGUAAAAAAAUUCUAAAAUACGGUAAAAAAAAUUAUGAAGCUAAAAUCCAGACAGACUGCUUAAAGAAAUGAGAAAAAAAAUCCAAUGAGAUGCAUUUCUAAAAUCUGCCCUUACGAAAUAGAAACACGAACAUAAACACAGUACAUCACACACAUAUACAUUGCAUUGCACGGAACACAUUAGUGCACACACUUUCAUAUCUU